rnacentral:rRNA from 1 species
GUAAAGCACUUUCAGUUGUGAGGAAGGUGGUGUCGGUUAAUAGCGGCAUCAUUUGACGUUAGCAACAGAAGAAGCACCGGCUAACUCCGUGCCAGCAGCCGCGGUAAUACGGAGGGUGCGAGCGUUAAUCGGAAUUACUGGGCGUAAAGCGCAUGCAGGUGGUUUGUUAAGUUCAGAUGUGAAAGACCCGGGGCGUCAACCUCGGAACUGCAUUUGAAACUGGCAGACUAGAGUACUGUAGAGGGGGGUAGGAAUUUCAGGUGUAGCGGUGAAAUGCGUAGAGAUCUGAAGGAAUACCGGUGGCGAAGGCGGCCCCCUCGGACAGAUACUGACACUCAGAUGCGAAAGCGUGGGGAGCAAACAGGAUUAGAUACCCUGGUAG